GCGUCGGUAGUGCACGGGCCAAAGUACGCUCCCUCUGAUAGGGUGAAGUGCGGGUUCAAGUCCCGCUUGACGCA